GAUGAACGCUGGCGGCGUGCCUAAUACAUGCAAGUCGAGCGAACGGACGAGAAGCUUGCUUCUCUGAUGUUAGCGGCGGACGGGUGAGUAACACGUGGAUAACCUACCUAUAAGACUGGGGUAACUUCGGGAAACCGGAGCUAAUACCGGCUAAUCUUUUGAACCGCAUGGUUCAAAAGUGAAAGACGGUCUUGCUGUCACUUAUAGAUGGAUCCGCACUGCAUUAGCUAGUUGGUAAGGUAACGGCUUACCAAGGCAACGAUGCAUAGCCGACCUGAGAGGGUGAUCGGCCACACUGGAACUGAGACACGGUCCAGACUCCUACGGGAGGCAGCAGUAGGGAAUCUUGCACAAUGGGCGAAAGCCUGACGGAGCAACGCCGCGUGAGUGAUGAAGGUCUUCGGAUCGUAAAACUCUGUUAUUAGGGAAGAACAUAUGUGUAAGUAACUGUGCACAUCUUGACGGUACCUAAUCAGAAAGCCACGGCUAACUACGUG
rnacentral:rRNA from 1 species